CUGAUAUGAAUUUUUAUAUUUCAAAAAAGAAUAAUGAAAUACUGACAAAGAAAAAAAAGAUUAUGUUUGGUUCUCCAUUAACUGACUUUCAAAGGAUGAAAAAAUAAUUUCAAAUUUAUGUGAAAAUAUGGAUUUUAUUCGUUAAGUUUCAAAUACGAUGUCAGACUUUUCAAAAACAUAUAAAGCUUCCCUAAAAUGUAGGGAAGAUUAUUUAACAAAAUUCAAUACAAUGAAAAUACAGUAGUCACAAUUACAGAUCUACAUGUUGGCAAGUAAGUUCAUAAGGAAAUAAUUUUGAAUUAUAAAAUUUUAAAUAAUAAAAUAAAUAAAUAAAAUUGAUAAAAUAUA